GCAUGUGUGCCUGUGUGACAAGUGGAUAUACUCAUGUGGAUUUAUUAAUUAUUAUUGUAAAACUAGAUUAAUUUAUUAUUGAUGAAAAAAUGGGAAAUCCUGAGGUAAAAUGUAGUUUUCCAUUGCUUGUUAGCUAUAAAAACUAAAAUAACCUAUAUAUUGUUAAAUAUUGAUAAAUAUUGGUCGGAGUGUGGACACAUUUCAACUGAACACCACAAACAUUAUUUUGAAUCUUCAGAGGAACUCAAGCUCAUAUUCUUGAUGUGAACAGUAAAGGGCAUCGCUCAAUGAGAAUAGCCUCCAUCCACCUCCGUAAUUUAAUUUCCCUAAUGUGUGUUCUCUCAGAUUGGAUACGGUGAAUGACUUCCAUUUAAUCUAAAUGACAAAAGCAUUAUGAGUGCUUUAAGAGAGUCUCCUCUCAGCGGACGGGCCGGGAUUCGAGGUGCGGGUGGAUGGAUGCUCUGAUGGCGUUUUAAUGGUGAAUUGCCCUUGGGUAAUUUUUUACCAUUGCUGUUACUUGAGCAGAAAACUUAUGAGAAGCUGACAUUUUUCAUCCUAACGCCCGUUUGUUAUUCGUUUAUAUUCAUAACUGCAAUUUUUCAGCCUUGCCGUGGGUGCUAGUGUCAUAAAAAUGAAUGAAAUCUGUAGGACGAUGAGCGGUAAGAAAGCAGACUGCAGUAGAGAUGUGUAGGUGGCUUGGACAGACAGGUGGACAGAAUAUCUGGAAAUGCUCACAUUAGACACAAAAUAUCCAUCUCUGUGCAGUUUGUCCUUUGCAUCCACUCUGAACCUGACCUGCAGUAUUGGGGUGAUUUUUAGGGUUGAUGGGGGAUACUGCUGGCGACGAAUGGUUUAAAUGAAUACAGAUGCCAUCAACAUAGACUGAAACUCUCUGCUGAUGUCUCAUCAUCUCAUCCCUAGAGCAAGGAAGGCAUCUGAGUCCAUGGCCGAGAUAAUGCUCCACUGAGAAACCCAAACUGUGUACCCACAUGUGAAAAGAUGAGAAUUUACCAGACCAUCUGUUGAGAGGUAAAAGCCAUGAAGCCGUACGAACAGGUGAAGAUUGACAGAUGUAGAGACAGGAGCGCAACAUUGGAUUUUUAGGAUGAGAAUCUGAACUCUGUGACACUGACAGUAAUGACGUUACACCUGUUCCCUGUGUAUUUAUGAGAUCUGAACGUCGUAAUCAAAAGUGAAGUGAAAGACACCUGGCGAUCGACAGAGAGGUGAGACUGAACACACGACCCCUCUCCUCUAAGUUUAUGGAAAUGAUCCGCCUCACAUCAAGCCCAAAUAAAGUCUCUCGUCAUUCCCAGCAGCAUUGAACAGAGCCACUCGUGAGGGACAUACUAGUUUCUUUCCUUCUUUAUCAUAAACCGCAGCUGGCACUCACCUCCGUUUCCCUGGGUGGGGAAUCCCUCUCGGUAAAGAAAUCCCUUCUCUUCUAUCCUGCGCUCUUUCUCUCUCUCUGUGUCUGUGUCAGUUUGUCUUGUAUUGCUCCUCAAACUCUUUUUCAGUGCUCUGGGUGGACGUUAAUGUGGAGUUCAUCCUGAUACAGCCGAGGUCCUGAAUGUGUCUAUCAAAUAUCACAGAAGAGCCGAAGCUGAAGACCUCACCAGUGAAUCCAGGAGCUCCAACUGAAGAGAGAAGGAGAGAGAGAAAGACUACAAUGAUAGACUGUACAAGCAGGAUCAACUUACAUUGUCUGAGCUAUUAAAUCAGACGGACCAUUCUGGACCGAAACCCUGUUGUUCACCAAAGACCUCUGCUUUUCUUCAAUGGAUUUGAGGGUCACCUGCAGACUGAAGGACAAUUCCAUUCUUCAGGCUGUCAGAAUGCCGAACUCAACCUGCACCCCUCUAACACACCCCACUAACACAAUGGGACCUGCGCCAGACACUUUGUGCAGCAUUGGUCUGCUCACUACCUCAUCCAGCAGUUAUCUGACCACAUUCAACUACCUCUUCUGUCAGUUUAAAUAAAUAACUACUCUCUGAUAUUUUUGACACUUUAUUAGACUGAAUAAGCUCUUUUGCCCUACAAUCAUUGUAUCUGCACUGUUUACUUCACUGGAUUCCACUCUGCCAUGUGCCUUGUGCUGCUUUACUUAUCUUUUUACAUGACCUAUUUGUAUAGUUGUACUUUAUAU